rnacentral:rRNA from 1 species
GAUGAACGCUGGCGGCGUGCCUAAUACAUGCAAGUCGAGCGAACGGACGAGAAGCUUGCUUCUCUGAUGUUAGCGGCGGACGGGUGAGUAACACGUGGAUAACCUACCUAUAAGACUGGGAUAACUUCGGGAAACCGGAGCUAAUACCGGAUGAUAUUUUGAACCGCAUGGUUCAAAAGUGAAAGAUGGUCUUGCUGUCACUUAUAGAUGGAUCCUCGCUGCAUUAGCUAGUUGGUAAGGUAACGGCUUACCAAGGCAACGAUGCAUAGCCGACCUGAGAGGGUGAUCGGCCACACUGGAACUGAGACACGGCCCAGACUCCUACGGGAGGCAGCAGUAGGGAAUCUUCCGCAAUGGGCGAAAGCCUGACGGAGCAACGCCGCGUGAGUGAUGAAGGUCUUCGGAUCGUAAAACUCUGUUAUUAGGGAAGAACAUAUGUGUAAGUAACUGUGCACAUCUUGACGGUACCUAAUCAGAAAGCCACGGCUAACUACGUG